GAUGAACGCUAGCGGCAGGCCUAACACAUGCAAGUCGAGGGGUAGAAGUUUUCGGACUUUGAGACCGGCGCACGGGUGCGUAACGCGUAUGCAAUCUGCCUUGUACUGGGGGAUAGCCCAGAGAAAUUUGGAUUAAUACCCCAUAGUAUUUUCGGUUGGCAUCAACUGAUUAUUAAAGUUUUUCGGUACAAGAUGAGCGUGCGUCCCAUUAGCGAGUUGGUAUGGUAACGGCAUACCAAGGCUACGAUGGGUAGGGGUCCUGAGAGGGAGAUUCCCCCCACUGGUACUGAGACACGGACCAGACUCCUACGGGAGGCAGCAGUGAGGAAUAUUGGUCAAUGGUCGCAAGACUGAACCAGCCAUGCCGCGUGCAGGAUGAAGCAUCUAUGGUGUGUAAACUGCUUUUGUACGGGAAGAAACACUGCUACGUGUAGCAGCUUGACGGUACCGUAAGAAUAAGGAUCGGCUAACUCCGUGCCAGCCGCCGCCGUAAUAC
rnacentral:rRNA from 1 species